UAAAAUUUCAGUGGACUUGUUAAGUAAAAACGAACAUUCCUGUCAAAAUUGAGCUCAAUCGGACUGUCGGAAGGGCUUACGGAAGGUAUUUGAUCCGUGUCGCUAAACGGAUUAAGUCGAAGGGCAUUUUGGUAAAUUGAACCAGUUAGUGGAAUUCCACUAACCUGCAGCCAUGUAAUACCCUCCAUCCUUAUCCCCUCUGCACCCUCUCCUCAGUCAGCAUACGUAUAGAGAGAGAGAGAAGGAGAAAAGAGGAGAAAAGAGAAGAAGAGAAAAGAAGAGAAGAAGAAGCUGAUGAAGAAGGAGAAAAAGAAAAGAAAAGAUAGAAGCCCUAAAUGAAAUUAACUGCGUACAAACCUAAUUGGGGGUAAAAGAAACUUGCUGGCGAAGUCGGUUCGGCAAUCCGACGAGCCUACGCGAAGAUAUCGCCAAAAGAAGAUUUUCGGCGUCGAUAGUCGCGAGCACGGGUCGCGGUUCUCGGGAAAGCGCUAGAAGCGCAUUUCUCCCUUUCCGGCAUCAAAGAAAGCUCUUAGGCCUUGAAGGAGGCUUGGAUGUGAAGAGAGGAGUUUCUUGGUGGAUCAAUCUUCAACCCUAGCUCAUGAUAGCCUGAUUUGGAGCUUUCUUGAAGGUUGGAUUUGAAGCUCCAUUUGGUUGAUUUGAGUUUUGAACAAGUUUAGCUUGGUCAAAGAAAUUCUUUUAGGGUGCUAGAAGCAUGGUGGAUAACUUCGUUCGAAGGAACGAAAGGCUUCGAAGUGUAUCCGGUGGCUUUGACCUCACCGAAAUGGCUGAACUCCCUCUAUGUCUUCUCUAUAGUUAUAAGACUUAGAUGGAUGCAUAUUCAUGCUUAAUAGGACAUGAUUGAAUUUUGAGAUACAUGACACAUAUGUGUUGCAUGUAGAAAAUUUAUACUCGAUAUAGUAGAGGUAUAUAAUCUGGACUUGCAUUCUACAUGACAUAUGUUUGCUUUUCUUAUUAUGCAAUAAUAGAAAGCAUGUUAGAGAUAAACAAAGGAUUUAUCUUGUGAACUCUAUUUGGGUUGUGGAAUAGAUGAGAUUUAGCAAUUAGUUGCAUGUUGAUAUAUACUUGUUAUAGACAAGGUGAAUGAGACUUAGUAUUUAAGUGCAUGUUAAAAUCGACAUGAAGCUAAACUUAGUCCAUUGAACCUAGUUGAAUAACUAGUACUUGACAUUGUGACAUUGCAUUCGAUCAAGGGAUCAAUGGUUGUACUCCAUGUGUUAGACAUGAGGGAAUGGGAUUUUAGCGCCUUUGGGCGAAUGAUAAAAAGGACAAUUGCAUGUAACAUUAAUUGAGUAAAAUCACUUGCAUGAUAAUACUUCUACUCCAUGUAGUGGGGACUUGGUAGAAAAGUAUAUGCAUAACAUGUAUCAUGAACUUUGUAAGCAUCUUACGAUACCUUUGCAUAUGGCAUAAGAAAGUGACCCCUUCGUUAUAGUGGGAUAAAGUGUUGUGAACCCUUAUUUGAGACUUGAACAAAUAGUGGACUAUUCUAGAUAGGAUGAUGACAAGUUUUACGUGCUCAUGAACUAGUGACUUAUACUUGACAUGGUAAACAUGAACGUUAUGUAGUAACACUUGAUUUAGUAUAUGACUAAACCGUGACAAUGUGAUACUAUAUUGGACCUUUGGGUCAUUGGUGCUUAUGCCAUAUUUUAAACAUGAUGACCGAGGGUUGGAUACUAUUGAUUAUACUUGCUUGCCAUUGUGCUCAUUCACACAUGCUUAUGAGGGUCGCUCCCCACAAGCCGGCACUCCGAAGAUAGCCUACGCGACACAAGCUCGCCCGUGGGGGAUUGGGUACCGAAAUGAGAUGUCGUGGGGGAGGCUCAUUCCUAGAGGGAAAAUGUUGACUACUAUGAGGCCAUUAGGCACGGUGCAAGCCGGACAACACUCGUGUAGAUCCAUGAUAGAUUGAACAUUGACACCUAAAGUAUAAUGUGGAAACCACUACUAAAUAGUGCAUAUUAGUUGGACUUGUGUACACGCAUGAUAGUGCAUAUUACUUGGACUUUAUGUUAGUCAUUCGUGACAUCGAUAACUCUAGUAGUAUACAUACAUCUAUGUUGAUGUGUAUAGAUGCAUGGAUAGAAUAGCAAUGAAAAGCAUAAUUUACUUCUCGUAGCAUUAUAGAAAUAAUGAACAUGCAUGUGAACCGGCAUUGACAUAUAGUUGAACAUGUGAGAUUAGAACAUCAUGUACAUAAUUGUAAAUCUUUUGGUAGAGGCAUGACUUAUUAAUUAAACUGUUUAAAUUACUUGCUAUUCAUAUGUUGCUUACUUAUCAUAUCAUGACAUGCCUCAGUUGACCUUGUGGUGUAUUUCGCCACUCUCGGCAGCUUACCCACUGAGAACUAUUGUUUAAUAAGUCUCACCCCCAUUGGUUGUUGGUUUUUAUUUCAGAGCCUUCCGCAACGGGAGAGGCUAGUGUGAGAACUGAGAUUUUUGCGGUGCAGAUAAACCCUUUGUUGACGAUAUUUUUGUGUGUAAUUUAAUUACAUAAGCACUCGUCAAGUUUCAAGAGAAAACGAGUUAGGAUGGAGAAGUUACGUGACUUGUACUAAUCACUUAAAGUGAAUAGUAACUCCGAUUUUUCAGGGAGGCUAAUUAAUGGAGAUGGCUUCUGGUAUGUAUUGGACUCCCUUCAUUGUGAUCCAAUAGCUAGUUUUCGAUGGGUCGAUUGUCCUGAACCCAAUGGCGCUGACGAAUUUCAGAUCUGAUGCAUGGUUUUCGAGAAAACUGGAGAUACAUAUUUUCUUUGUAUUUGUGUGCGGGUUAUGGGAGAGGUUGGAGAGUGGAUGGGUUUCGUCGCAAAUCGGCGAUCAUAUCGGAUGAAACAAAAUGGUAGAUUCGAUGCCCCGGUUGUCCUGAACGUGUUGCCAUGAUCCGAUCGAAAAUCCGAAGAACGGAUCUUCAGGAAUCGCGAAAUGUUCGCUGAGGGGCCGAAAUUGGCAAAAUGGAAAAUCUGAGAAAAACCCCAUAUUUUAUGCACCAUUUUGCGUGAUUUCGAACGUGAGGUGCGUACGCGCAAGAUACACGCGCUGGCAGGGACUGGGCUGAAAAUAAUCAGGUUUCGGGGACUUUUCUGCAAAAGUGCACAGCAUAUAUAAUGUGCAUCUAGGGUUUCUAUGCACGAAACCCUAGAUCUAGCUGACCUAGCUCCCCAGCUACGCCCUAGAUGUCAUCAGCUAGCCCCUGCCCUAGCCGUGGGCGCACCUUGUUCGCCGACAAGUGCCCCGGCCUCGGGAAAACCUUGGCUCGACCUCUCCUCCAUCAUCUCCUCCACAUAGCCGCCACCUUCCUCAGCCGUAGAUCUCAGGAAGUCAACCCCACGCAUCGAGUCUUCGUCCCUUGGCCGAGACCGACCUCCGGCACAUCCCCGCCAGCCCCCCGCCGUCCGCGUGCGCCGCCGGCGCCGCCUGGGCUCUUUGCAGCCGCCCAGACCCUGAGCAGGCCGAGCCGGGGCUAUCUCUGCCUCCGCGCGCCGUCACCGUUCCGGCCGGUCGCGCUGCCUUCCCACGGCCCCCGGCGACCUCCCACUCGUUGUCCCCUCACUCGGGAGCACCGCCGGCUAUCGCUCGAGCUCCCUGCGUGUAAUGUAUCGAGAAUUUACCUUGAGCUAAUUGUGAUUAAAGUGAUCACAACAAUGCAAAAAUGGAAAUUAAGUAUCUCUAAACUUAAUUAGAGGUUUGAGAACAACAAUUGGCAUGUUCUGGAAGUGUGUGAGUAGGCUCGAAUGGAAUUGAAGGGGUUAACAACUCCAAUUGUUGUAGCAAUUCGAAUGCUGAAAUUUUAGUCAACUUGAUCAAAAAUGGUCAAAUUGAUGCAAGUCUGAGAAUUACAUAUUUCCAAAUUAAUUUGGUAGCUUGGAAAGUUUUUUGGAUGAUUUUAGAAGUGUUCAAAUGAAAUUAGAACGAGUUGGUUAAGAGAAAAAGAGAGUUGAAGCAGCUGUUGAUGCUGCUGCUGCUGAAGCUACUGCCCUGUACCGGUACACCUUCUUGUACCGGUACAGCAUGUGCAGGCUGCCUGGACUGCAAUGCAGUUUUGAGAAAAUUAAGGGUUAAGUUGCAAAUUUUCAUCCUUAUCACUUAACCCAUGCUGGCUGGAGUUUGUACACGUGUUGGGACCCUUCUCUCUUUCUUUUUUUUUACAUCUCUUUUCUGCUCUUUCUCUCUCUAUCCGAAGAGCAAGCCUAGGGAGGGCUUUGAUGGAUGAAGCUGCCAAGCAGGAAAUUGGAUUAUUGGAGCUGAGGGAAGUGACCCGAGCUUGUAAUUCCUGCUGACUGGAGUUGCUCUACAACCAGGAAUAACCCCUAAUCAAGCCUUGGUGCUCUUGGGAUUGUUGGAGCUUCUUCGAACACGAGGACCAGCUGAAAAAGCUUUAGAAUUCAGGGAUGGCCUAUUUGAUGCAGUGAGCAAGUUAAAUUAGCAUCAAACUAUAAUUUGGAGCUACCAAGUGGAAUUGAUACCUUGAGUGAGUUUUUGAUGCUUCAAGUUGAAAUUAAUUAGAAGAAGUAUCUAAUUAAGGAUUAGAGCUUGGUAAACUAGUAAACCAGAAUUGGAGAGAGAGCUUCCUGCUGUUGGAACUAGUGAGCAGAGAAUCAGUUGAGAGAAAGAACUCUGGAGCAUUGAUACAGCUCGUGAGGUCGACGAUACACUAGUUACGGUAGAGACCGUUCUAGUUCUAUUUACACCGAGUCGCGAGAGCUAGUUGUCGAAACAUUUCGAGACGGGGAUUCUAGUUGUUGACACCACUACAGGUUCCAGUGCGAGCGGUGUGGCCGAGGAUCGUGGCAAGAGCCCCGCAGUAUAGCUAGCUGAC